rfam:Schistocephalus solidus strain NST_G2 genome assembly, scaffold: SSLN_scaffold0006311
AGUGGCGCAGUCCGCAAAGUUGGUGGAGUGAUUUGUCUGGUUAAUUCCUAUAACAAACGAGACUCUAGCCUGCUAAUUAGUACGCCAGUCCUCUGUUCCUGUGCUGGUGGCGUUUUGACGAAACUGCUUGCUUAAGCUGACUACUUUCGGGCCGCGCAUUUCUAUGCGCGCUUGUGCUGCGAGCCACUUCCGGGGUGAGUGGUGUGCGUGCGUGUGGGGGCGUGGACUGCGGUAGGAGGGGUAAGCGGUGGGUUCUGCGUUAGCCUCCGGGUACGGCGCAGGUGUGCCUACUUCUUAGAGGGACAAGCCCUACGAAUCUGCACGAAAUUAAAUAAUUAGAGGUCUGUGAUGCCCU